CCUCCCCGCGCCUGACCAGGAGCGCGCCCCUGACUUUACGGCCACGCCCGGCCGAGAGCGCGUGCCAGCAAGGCUCGCUCUCUCUCUCUCUCUCUCUCUCUCUCUUCCCCUCUCCUCUCUCUCUCUCUCUCUCCCUCUCCUCUCUCUCUCUCUCUCUCUCUCUGUCACACACACACACACACACAGCCACCGGAGGCGUCCUGAGCAGCAGCCCACUCCCUGUCCCCUGCAGGCGUCCGACCCGAAGUCCACGCGCCGGAACUCGGACCAGGAGCCAGAGGACCCCAGCGCAGAAUCCGCGGAGACGCACGGCUUCGUCGACCACGCUCCCAGGUGGCGUUCCAGCCCAGAUCCGGCCACGAAGACACCGGCGACCUCGGCCUGGGUUUCCUGUUCGAUGAGCUCCAGAAAGAAGACGCUCUCUCCUCCGACCUCUCUUUCCCUUUCCUCCUUUCCAGAUGCGAAGGAUAUAGAGACUUCAGUGACUGAAGCUGGAGGAGACGAUGAGAAGAAAAUACGGACCAAACCCGAGCAGGGAGCAGGAGCAGGAAAAGAAAGUCACGUGUACGCGGGAGCUGCGGACCCCAUGAUCCACGAGAACCAGAAGGGCGGUGGUGGCCACCAGGAGCCCUGGCAGCAGCAGCCUGAGGAGUUGGCCCAGGACUCCUCCGCUGAGGAUCCGCAACCCCAAGAUCAGGAGCGUCUAUUCAGCCCCAGCACGUUCGGCGGGUUGCACCUGAAGGAGCUAGACAGCAUUUUCUGACCUUCUCAAUAUCCGGACAUGUUCGCUUGAAAGCAACUGGCAAUAUGCAUGGAUGUGAGUGAAGCUGAAGUGGAAGCCAGUAAGCCUGAUGAAAGCAAUUGGUCAGAGUAGCCACUCUGAAACCUGCCUCAGACCUUGGAUACUUUGUCCUACACAUUCUCCAAUUGGCCUGGUAACUUCACCGGAUGAAGAAAUCUAGGUUGUUGGUGUUUUUCUUUGAACACCUCUUCUUGCUCUUCGAUAGGUGGGUCAACUCUUCAAGGAGAACUGUAAACCACUGCUCAACAAAAUAAAAGAGGACACAAACAAAUGGAAGAACAUUCCAUGCUCAUGGAUAGGAAGAAUCAAUAUUGUGAAAAUGGCCAUACUGCCCAAGGUAAUUUAUAGAUUCAAUGCCAUCCCCAUCAAGCUACCAAUGACUUUCUUCACAGAAUUGGAAAAAACUACUUUAAAGUUCAUAUGGAACCAAAAAAGAGCCCGCAUUGCCAAGACAAUCCUAAGCCAAAAGAACAAAGCUGGAGGCAUCACGUUACCUGACUUCAAGCUAUACCACAAGGCUACAGUAACCAAAACAGCAUGGUACUGGUACCAAAACAGAGAUAUAGACCAAUGGAACAGAACAGAGCCAUCAGAAAUAAUACCACACAUCUACAACCAUCUGAUCUUUGACAAACCUGACAAAAAAAGAAACGGGGAAAGGAUUCCCUAUUUAAUAAAUGGUGCUGGGAAAACUGGCUAGCCAUAUGUAGAAAGCUGAAACUGGAUCCCUUCCUUACACCUUAUAGAAAAAUUCAUUCAAGAUGGAUUAAAGACUUAAAUGUUAGACCUAAAACCAUAAAAACCCUAGAAGAAAACCUAGGCAAUACCAUUCAGGACAUAGGCAUGGGCAAGGACUUCAUGACUAAAACACCAAAAGCAAUGGCAACCAAAGCCAAAAUUGACAAAUAAGAUCUAAUUAAACUAAAGAGCUUCUGCACAGCAAAAGAAACUACCAUCAGAGUGAACAGGCAACCUACAGAAUGGGAGAAAAUUUUUACAAUCUACCCAUCUGACAAAGGGCUGAUAUCCAGAAUCUACAAAGAACUUAAACAAAUUUACAAGAAAAAAUCAAACAACCCCAUCAAAAAGUGGGAGAAGGAUAUGAACAGACACUUCUCAAAAGAAGACAUUUAUGCACUCAACAGACACAUGAAAAAAUGCUCAUCAUCACUGGCCAUCAGAGAAAUGCAAAUCAAAACCACAAUGAGAUACCAUCUCACACCAGUUAGAAUGGUGAUCAUUAAAAAGUCAGGAAACAGCAGAUGCUGGAGAGGAUGUGGAGAAAUAGGAACACUUUUACACUGUUGGUGGGACUGUAAACUAGUUCAACCAUUGUGGAAGUCAGUAUGGCGAUUCCUCAGGGAUCUAGAACUAGAAAUACCAUUUGACCCAGCCAUCCCAUUACUGGGUAUAUACCCAAAGGGUUAUAAAUCAUGCUGCUAUAAAGACACAUGCACACGUAUGUUUAUUGCGUCACUAUUCACAAUAGCAAAGACUUGGAACCAACCCAAAUGUCCAUCAAUGAUAGACUGGAUUUAGAAAAUGUGGCACAUAUACACCAUGGAAUACUAUGCAGCCAUAAAAAAGGAUGAGUUCAUGUCCUUUGUAGGGACAUGGAUGAAGCUAGAAACCAUUAUUCUGAGCAAACUAUCACAAGGACAGAAAACCAAACACCACAUGUUCUCACUCAUAGGUGGGAAUUGAACAAUGAGAACACUUGGACACAGGGUGGGGAACAUCACACACCGGGACCUGUCGUGGGGUUGGGGGAGGGGAGAGGGAUAGCAUUAGGAGAUAUACCUAAGGUAAAUGACGAGUUAAUGGGUGCAGCACACCAACAUGGCACAUGUACACAUAUGUAACAAACCUGCACAUUGUGCACAUGUACCCUAGAACUUAAAGUAUAAUUAAAAAAUAAAAUAAAUUAAAUUAAAAAAUAAAUUUCGGUUUAGUAAAUCAUUUGUCUCUUUAGAAUCAGAUUAUGAGCUGGGAAGUGGCUCACACUGCCACUAGCACUUUGGGAGGCCUAGCAGGAGGCCCUAGCACUUUGGGAGGCCCUAGCACUUUGGGAGGCCAAGGCAGGAGGAUAA
rnacentral:lncRNA from 1 species